UACGGGGGGGGCAAGCGUUGUUCGGAAUUACUGGGCGUAAAGCGCGCGCAGGCGGUCUUUUAAGUCUGAUGUGAAAGCCCACGGCUCAACCGUGGAGGGUCAUUGGAAACUGGGAGACUUGAGUGCAGAAGAGAAGAGUGGAAUUCCACGUGUAGCGGUGAAAUGCGUAGAGAUGUGGAGGAACACCAGUGGCGAAGGCGACUCUUUGGUCUGUAACUGACGCUGAGGCGCGAAAGCGUGGGGAGCAAACAGG
rnacentral:rRNA from 1 species